GCGCAUCACUGAAGACGGACGCUUGUGAUGGCUGAAAAAAUUAGCACCGAUCAUUAGCUUGGUAGUGCGCAAACGGGUGUGAAGUCUGAAAAAAAAGUGGUGCGAAUAACGCGAAUGCGAUCGCGAGCGCAGAGGUGACCGCAGAGUGACCAAAAUAAGCUAAAUAGUGAAAAGUUAGAAAACAGCCAAAAUACAAAUAGUAAAUAAAGGCAAAAAAACCUACCGAAAACGUUAUAUUUAUUUAAUGAGGUAAUAAGGAUAUACCAUACUUGUGUACAAAAGUGUUGUAACUGUAAAGAAAUUCAAAGGGGUUUGAAAUACAUACAAAAAUUUACAUUAAAAAGUCGUGGUUCGAAAACACCGUAUACUCUAAGUGUUUGGCGAAUAUUUUAUAGGAAAUACCGACACUACAUAAUUUGUUACAAAGCCAAACGAUUUCUGGAGCAAUAAAUUAUUAUCAAGGUGAUUCAAAUUGGGCUGUUCGGACGUGAUGACCACCUCGCACAUUUUGUCUGCUGUCGAUCCGGCUGGUAUGAGCGGCUCAACAAACCAUAACAACAACAACACCAUGGCGAAUAUUAGUAGUGAUAACACCAGUGUUGCCGGCCAACAUCAUAAUGCCAACAGCAACAGCAAUGGCGGACACUCAAGAGCGCCUUCGCCGCAACAUAUACAUCAUAACAUAGCUGCCAGCAGCAGCGGCAAUGGGGGUCGUGGUGUUGGCAUUGGCAUUGGCGUAGGCAGCGGCAUGAGCGGCAGCAUAAAUCCUCUCGGCGCACCACUGGCGGCAAAUCGGAGUCCCGGCAUGGAGAGAAAUCUACAUGUCAGCCUCGAUGAUCGUGAACUGUGGCUACGCUUUCAGAAUCUCACCAAUGAAAUGAUCGUUACGAAAAACGGCAGACGCAUGUUUCCGGUGGUCAAGAUUAGCACUUCCGGUCUGGAUCCAGCUGCCAUGUACACAGUUCUGCUGGAGUUCGUGCAGGUGGAUACACAUCGCUGGAAGUAUGUUAACGGCGAGUGGUGUCAUGCGGAUUAUCCUCAGGUUCCCGGUGGCAAGGCGGAGGUACCCCCUGCGAAUCCCAUCUACGUGCAUCCCGAGUCACCGAAUUUCGGCGCUCACUGGAUGAAGGAGCCGAUUUCGUUUGCGAAAGUGAAGUUGACGAAUAAAACGAAUGGGAAUGGUCAGAUUAUGCUGAACUCCUUGCAUAAGUAUGAGCCGCGUGUGCAUUUGGUGCGUGUGGGCUCAGAACAGCGCCAUGUGGUCACUUAUGCCUUUCCGGAGACACAAUUCAUUGCGGUGACCGCCUAUCAGAAUGAAGAGGUCACCUCGUUGAAGAUCAAAUACAACCCAUUUGCAAAAGCCUUUCUAGAUGCAAAGGAGCGUCCCGACACAUUGUACUCGCACGAGACACCUUACGGCUGGUUAAUACCACCACCGACUCAUUAUACUAGCGUUGCACAAGCGCCCCCACCACCGCCACCCAGUUUGGCAGUGUCAAAUUCUCCGCUGGGCAUGGGUUGUGACCGCUAUGGACGUGCUCUCGGUAGCCGCGGAACACAUGGAACACGCGCCUCGCCGUACACUCGACCGCGACUUGUUUCGAGCACAUCUGGCACCAACUCGCCAGGCCCUGGCAGUGGUGGUGUGAUGAAUGGUAGCACCGGCAGCGCUUCGCCACCACAGCAGCCGCCUUCAGCUCCACAUACUCCAACUAGCAUACAAUCCACACACACCACCAAUUUGGGCGUCGCCGCCAGCAAUGUUGGCAUGACCAGCUCAGCAAAUGCAGUCGGCUCUUUUUCAGGCUUUUCCAGUUCCUAUACGCAAUCCAGUUUUAUGCCGGUAGAGCCGAGUUCCUCAAUGCUUUCAUACGCGGGUACUUGGCAGAGCAAUGGCGGUUAUUGGAGUUCACCAGCGCCGGUGACCGGCGUGCCACCAACAGCAGUACCGGUGAAUGCCAGUCAAGGCAGCAACGUUGGCCGAUCGAUGAGUUCUGCACACAAUUCUCCAUCGCCAACAAAUGGAGGUUCACCCAAUUACACCAGUCCUUCUCCUGGCUACACCAUUCACCAUCUCACACCUCAUCCUUCCCAUCAAUAUAAUGUGGCACAAACGGCGGCAGCUGCAGCACAUGCAGUGGAUAUGUACCAGAACGCCACGCCCGCACAGUCCUACGCUGCGCCCCCUACGCAUCAAGUGUACCAUCCAACGCCCACCUCCCCCACGCACCAGCUGUACACGAACGUAUUGAAUGCGCCAACGGCGUUGAGCUAUGCGGGCAGCUCCUGGCAUAACGGCGGCGGCGCGGAAUACGGACUGUAUCAGAAUGCAGCUUACGGCUAUCAACCGGAGUAUAUCCCGUUGUUGUCUGAUUUGGGCUACACCUCGCAUCCGCUUGAACCCGUCGAAGUUUCAAAAACUCUCGAAGAUUCGCAGGCCGCCAUCUACAAGUCGCCUCAGCAAACUGGCAGUGACGGCGGCAGCAGCUCAGUGCUUACUUUGGAAUGCACCAACUUAAAGGCACAGUCGCCUUCGGUUGCUGUGAAAUUGGAGGCCAUCGACAGCGUAGUCACACCCAGUCAUGAGCGCAGCUCAGCGGCUGCAAGUGCGACGGCCACAUCGGUUGUAACUGCUAGCCCGAACACGCCAGGCGGUGCGUGGACGCCGCUCACCCCACCACAGAGUGCGCUGCAGUAGACGAUUAGAAAGUGGACACAGAGCCUUCAGAAGCAAAUUUGUUCAAAUUAAUAUUCGCACGACUGAAGUGAGACUGUGUGGCGCUUUUUUCUGCAGAAGUAAUACGUCUUCCCAACAGGAGAUGGAAGAAUUCAUUUACUGUCGCCGCGGCAAUUACUCUACCAUAUGAACAGUUGAACACUAGGAGGGUGAAGAUUAUUAGACACAUUACGAAUUUAUGCGAUGCGUCAUCAGAAAAUAAAAAUUCUUUUUUUUACUCCAUUUUCAAGUAGAUGCCUUUGAAAUUUCGAAAUAUAUCAUGACUAUUUAUUUCCAUGAGUUAGCUAUAGUUUAAUAAAAAAGGUAAUAUGUAACAUCACUGAUCGGACAACGUACAUGUUUACAUAAAUUAGUAGGUAUAUAUGUAUGUAUGUAUGUAUGUGCGGGCAUGCGUUCUUUCAAAAGCGAAUUAAAAAUUGAUAUACGGGUCUUAUCAACAAUUAGACUUAUCAAUGAGAUAAUAGAUUUAACAAAACACAGUUACGACAGUUUAAAUAACAAUUACAUAGAAUUAGGAGUAGAGCAUAGCCCAAGUGCCGCGAUUAAAUUCCAGAACAAACAAAUAAGUGAGGGCCAAAAUUCGGGCAUAACUGAACUUUACAUAAACGGCGUAUGUUUUUAGUGAAAUGUUAGCAGAGUAAAAUCACACAUAAUUUAUAUUUUCAUUUUUAAGGCUGUUAUAUGCUGACAUUGUGAAGUUGACCUUAAUAGACCUAGAUAUAAAAUAUAGAUAAAGAAAUUUAAAUUAGAAUAUAAAAUACAACAAAAUUAUUUGGCUUAGCGGUAGAAAUUCAAGGCUGAGUGUCGAAAACAAACUCAGGUUCUUAAACCAGUAUGGACCUAUGGCGUCCAGCUUUGGGGAUGCACAGCGAAAUGUACUGUUGAGAUGUUACAUCGCUUUCAAAUAUAUAUAUAAUUAACUUUUACUGUAAAAAAAUAGUCCUAUAUAUACAUAUAUACCUAGAAGUACAAAUAACAUCUUAUGGAGGGGCUGCUCUUUGAUUUCAACAACUACUUGAAGGUGGUUUGCUUAUGGGA